rnacentral:tRNA from 2 species
UCCGAUAUAGUGUAACGGUCAACAUACGUCGCUUUCACCGACGAGCUCGGGGUUCGAUUCCCCGUAUCGGAG